rnacentral:lncRNA from 1 species
CCUGUCGGAACACUCGAUCCGACGGCGCAGAAACCCUCAUGGGAUCAGUGAGAACUAGCUAGUAGCAAGAUGCUGCUAGCUUUGUUUGUGUUUCGUUUUGCGAAGUCAACCGCGGCGAUUAAACUAACAGCCUCCGGUCCGGCCGUGAGGAAGAUCGAUGUGAAUGCGUGCUCCUCGGCCAGCUCCUGAUCCUCCCCCUUUGAGUGUCCUUGCUGCCCAAAAGGUUCUCCUGAUAUAUCCGGCCGUUGGGCGUUGGCCAUGCAUGAGCAUGACAUGUGUUGACAUUGCUCUUGGAGGAGAAGCAGCUGCUCCACGCACCUCGUGAACAGCGCAGAGUGUCGGGGGUCUUGUACAUGUGAAUGUAAACAUAUUCCCUGUACCGGCAUUCCAUCUCGCUCACGCUUUUAGUAUAUACACGCACGCAGAUACAGCAUCAGAAUAGUAGAGCAGUACAACACAAUACAAUACGCUGUAUAUUAUUCUGUUCAUGUACUCAUUGUCACUAUACAUCUGAAACUAACGGCUAUAUAUUGUCACUCUGUUUUGACUUUUAUUUGUGGAGUGGGGUGGGGUAGGCCAGUUGAGUACACAACUACACAUAUUUGGAAUUAUGGGCAGUUUUCUGGUUUUUUCUCUUUCCAUAUCUAUCAGUCAACUGAAGAGCGGAAUAUUGUCGAAAAAUGUUACUAUUUAAAGUUUUAGGGUGAGUUACAUCUCUCCAUAAAUACACAAUAAAUAUUCUCUAGUUUUGGUAUUGAGCAAAGACAAUAAAUAUUCAUUACAACAUUCAGGUGAGUUACAUCUCUCCAUAAAAAACACAAAAAACAAAAUACAAGGACAUCUCACAUUACUCUAUAUACCAAACACUACUAUAUAAUUCUUUUACCGUGGUGGGCAAAAUCACUUUACCGAGGCAGGCAAACUGACCGCUUCGAAAGAAAGGUCACCAUUAAUCAUUGUUAACCGAGACGGUCCUAAUGCACGCCUCGGUAAAUUGAUUGGGAAAAACAAAAAAAAUAAAAAAAACCAGGAUAAAGCCCUGUUGAGCCCAUCCACAACCCACCGAGCUCAUCCUUGGCUGCCGGAUCCACGCGUGCGCGCCGCCACCGCAACUGGAUCUGCCCCUCCAAACAUCGUCGCGUUAAGAGAGGCCUCCUCAGUUGUCGCCGUGGAUCUGCCAUGGAGAGAGGGUGAGGGAUGGAUCUGAGAGACGAGAGGGAGGAUGAGGGCAUACCUCUUCUGUCGAGCGUGGAGCUGCUGCCACCGAGACGUCGAGGAAGUGGAGAUGCGGCAGACCUCUGCGUGGGGAAGGAUGGCGACCGUCGUUGUGCCAUGCCAUGGGGAGAGUGAGGGGUGGCGUCGUCGUUCUAGGGACAGAAAGGGUCGGGGCGUUGCCGUUGUGGAGGGAGAGAGAGAGAGAGAGAGGCGCCAGGCUGGUGAGGGGCGUCGGGGUGGGGAGCGGCGGGUGUGAGGAACCCUAACUAGCCAAGUGUUCGUAUAUAUACUUGAAGGGUGAUGUUGGGCCUCGUCUCUGGUAUUGGGCUGAGAAACUAUAAUGGGUUGGGCUAGAUUUUAGGAGGC